GACGAACCGUGCGAACGUUGUUCGGAAUCACUGGGCUUAAAGGGAGCGUAGGCGGGCUAUCAAGUCUGGGGUGAAAUGCCACGGCUCAACCGUGGAACUGCCUCAGAUACUGACGGCCUCGAGGGAGAUAGGGGCAUGCGGAACUGUAGGUGGAGCGGUGAAAUGCGUUGAUAUCGGAAGGAACGCCGGUGGCGAAAGCGACACACUGGGUCUCAACUGACGCUGAGGCACGAAAGCCAGGGGAGCAAACGGG
rnacentral:rRNA from 1 species